GACGAACGCUGGCGGCGUGCUUAACACAUGCAAGUCGAACGAUGAAGCUGGAGCUUGCUCUGGCGGAUUAGUGGCGAACGGGUGAGUAACACGUGAGAAAUCUGCCCUUGACUCUGGGAUAACUGCGGGAAACUGUAGCUAGUACCGGAUACUUUCCCUGGUGGGCAUCCACUGGGGAAGAAAGAAUUUCGGUCAAGGAUGAUCUCGCGGCCUAUCAGCUUGUUGGUGAGGUAAUGGCUCACCAAGGCGACGACGGGUAGCCGGCCUGAGAGGGUGACCGGCCACACUGGGACUGAGACACGGCCCAGACUCCUACGGGAGGCAGCAGUGGGGAAUAUUGCACAAUGGGCGCAAGCCUGAUGCAGCAACGCCGCGUGAGGGAUGAAGGCCUUCGGGUUGUAAACCUCUUUUAGCAGGGAAGAAGCGAAAGUGACGGUACCUGCAGAAAAAGCACCGGCUAACUACGUGCCAGCAGCCGCGGUAA
rnacentral:rRNA from 1 species